rnacentral:rRNA from 1 species
UACGUAGGGUGCAAGCGUUGUCCGGAAUUAUUGGGCGUAAAGAGCUCGUAGGCGGUCUGUCGCGUCGGAUGUGAAAACCCAGGGCUCAACCCUGGGCUGCAUUCGAUACGGGCAGACUAGAGUUCGGUGAGGGGAGACUGGAAUUCCUGGUGUGCGGUGAAAUGCGCAGAUAUCAGGAGGAACACCGGUGGCGAAGGCGGUUCUCUGGGCAUUACCUGACGCUGAGGAGCGAAAGUGUGGGGAGCGAACAGG